rnacentral:lncRNA from 1 species
UGAAACUCCUCCUCUUAGAGCUUCUCUGAGAGGAGGAGCAACACUGAAAAAGGACGAACGUAAACAACCAGAUUUUUCCUGAACUGAAAGUAAAAGUGAUCUGAGCACAGCAGAGCUGCAGUCGAGACAAGUCUCUUUAUAUCUCUGUUCAAACAAAUUCACCAGAAGGAUUGACUUCAAAAACGGUGAGUACACUGACUAACAAAGAUAAAAAACACUUUUCAGUCAACAUUUUGUUAAACUUGACCACAAAACUGCUUCAAAAACCAAACUACAGUGACUGUCCUCAGGCUGGUCUAAACUCCACAAAGUGCUAAUGUUGAGCUAUUUCACAGACUUUUAUCUUCCUUUUUCAGUCAUGAAGUUUUGAUGCUUUCAAAUCUCACUGAUUGAGUUUGUUGGGCACAUUCACAGAUAAGUCAGCAGGUAUAUUCAGCCAUCACACAGAAAACACCAGAUUAACUCAUUCAGCUACUUACAAACCAGCCGAGCUCUCUGCUGUUGGAAAACGCCCGCUGGUUUCAUGAGUUCAGAAAGUGACGAGGGCGGGGUCCAUUUUUAUCAGGGAGACUUCUUCAUGACAAUUAAACCACAAAAUUCAUGUUUUACAACUUCUACAACUGUAAUUAGUCUUGGGAAGAUGUUUUAACUUGAAGCUUUUUUAUAUAUCAGAGUUCCUGCUGUUUGACUUUAUAACCAGAAUCGUUGUUCCUGUUUUAACUUGAUGGAUGGGUGUGUCUGACACCAAACUCAAAGUCUGCUUAUUUCCUGUUAAACAUUAAAGAACAAUAAAAUUCUCCCUUAGUGCCAAGAUAUAUGAGUCAUCACAACCUGCCAACCUGAGGAUGUCUCCUCACUGGUUGACUGGCUCACAGUCUUUCGAUGCGAUCACUCUGUGACUUUAAAUCUUCAUCAGAUAUUGAACUUUUUAACAGCUGAAGGUUUUCUUGACUUUCAGGAUCAUUAGUGUGUCCAAGUCCACUGACACACAGAGUACUGUGAUCAAAGUUUGACCUUCUUUCUUGUUACAUUGUUAGAGGAUGCUGUAGACUUUCAGGUGAGGUCAGAGUUCAGAUGAGUCAAAGUCUCCAGGAUUUUAAAAAUAUUGUUCUGCUUUUUCCAAAAACACUCUGCAGUCUUUCCUUUUUCCAGAUUUAGGCCAGAAUUUAACUGAAAGUCACCAAAUUAUUCAUGACAGUAUCACGAUGAUGAUGACAAGGAUAGACUCAAAAAUAGAUCUACAGUAUAUGUUUAGUGUUUUAACGUGUUGAUCUUCCACUGAUAAUCCUCAGGUUGUAAAAAUGUCUGCUGCCAGCUGUCUGCUGACUGAAGAUCAGUUCCUGUGCUCCAUCUGUCUGGAUGUCUUCACUGAUCCUGUCACCAUACCAUGUGGACACAACUUCUGUAAAUCCUGCAUCUCUCAACACUGGGAUGUCAAUGUUCCACAUCAGUGUCCAAACUGUAACGAGGUUUUCUUCAGAAGACCAGAGCUGAAGAUCAACACCUUCAUCUCUGAGAUGUCCGCUCAGUUCAGACAGUCAGCUCAUGUGUCAGUCAGGAUGUGUGAGAAACACGACAAACUGCUGGAGCUGUUCUGUAAGAAUGACCAGAUGUGUGUCUGCAUGCUCUGCAGUGUUACAGACCACAGGACCCAUGAUGUUGUUCCUCUGAGAGAAGAAUAUGAAGGAAAGAAGGCCGAGCUGGGGAAGACAGAGGCUGAAAUUCAGCAGAUGAUCCUGGAGAGACGACUGAAGAUUGAAGAGCUCAAAGAGUCAGUGGAGCUCAGUACUAAGAAUGCAGACAGAGAGAUGGCUGAAGGUGUGGAGGUCUUCACGGCUCUGAAAGAAUCUGUAGAGAGAAGCCAGGCCGAGUUCAUCCACACCAUCAAAGAGAAGCAGAGAGAGACGGAGGAACAGGCUGAAGGCUUCAUCACAGAGCUGCAACAGGAAAUCUGGGAGCUGGAGAAGAGGAGCUCUGAGCUGGAGCAGCUCUCACGCUCUGAAGACCACCUCCACCUCCUCCAAAACUUCACCACCCUGAACGCUGCUCCACCCACCAAGAACUGGACUGAAGUCCGCGUCCAUCCACCUUCAUAUGAGGGGACUGUGGUGAGAGCUGUGGACCAGCUGGAGGAGACGCUCAGGGAACUAAUGAAGAAGCUGAUUGAGGCCGAGCUGAAGAGAGUCCAGCAGUGUGAGGUGGAUGUGACACUCGAUCCUGAUACAGCAAAUCCAUAUCUCAUCCUGUCUGAUGAUGGAAAACAAGUUUAUUGUGGUGAUGAAGAGAAGAAUCUACCAGACAAUCCAGAGAGAUUUGAUAAAUGUGUUUGUGUUUUAUCAAAGCAGAGUUUUUCUUCAGGCAGAUUUUACUUUGAGGUUCAGGUUAAAGGGAAGACUGACUGGGAUUUAGGAGUAGUUAGAGAGUCCAUCAACAGGAAGGGAGAAAUCACUCUGACUCCUGAAGAUGGUUUCUGGACGAUUGUGUUGAGAAAUGAAAAUGAGUACGAAGCUCUUGAUGACCCUUCAGUCGAUCUCUGUCUUCAGUCUGAUCCUGAGAAGGUGGGGGUGUUUGUGGACUAUGAGGAGGGUCUGGUCUCCUUUUAUGACGUUGAUGCUGCAGCUCUGAUCUACUCCUUCACCGGCUGCUCCUUCACAGAAAAACUCUUUCCAUACUUCUGUCCAUGUCCUAACGAUGGUGGUGAAAACUCUGCUCCUCUGAUCAUCUCUCCAGUCAAUCACACUGAGUAGAUGUUCUGAACAACGAUAACCAUCAUUAAUAUCAUAAAUCUACAUUAUUAUGAUGUUUUUACUUUAAAAUCCACAUCAGUAUGGAUACCAACAAUUUAAGUCCAUCUUUUUUUAAAUAUGCAGCAUUACUUCUUACUUCACUAAACCAAUGUUACAGUUUUGAUCAGUUUAAUCAAGUGUUAUUUUAUCAGUGUUCAGAACUUCUUUACCUUCACACCAGACUGUUAAAUCAGCUCAAAUCGUACUCAUCAUUCUUUAUUCUCAUCUUUAAAGUCUCUCUGCUGAGUUUAAGACCUCAUCUUUCUCUGAUCGUACCAGCAAAUGUCACUAAUGUCAAAGUGUAUUUGUCAGAUAUGUCAAUAAUAAACAACUAAACUAAGAGUCUUCUUCCUGUUUCAGUUAUUGCAGCGACAAUAACCACGGAUGAAUGAAUGAAUGAUUGUAAAAUUGACCACACCAGUCCAUCCAAAUAAAUCAGUAAAUGGGAAUUCUGGGUCUUUGGCGCCUCAGUGGUCUCAAGGCCUCAAGUGUUGUGACCUACU